UUUCCCAGAAGUCUCAGAUGUACACUGUAACUCUUAUAUUUGAACUAAAUCUAGGUAGAGUUAAAUAAUUGAGCUUCAAGUGAUAUAGACGUACUUCAUGCCAGGAAGAGUUCCUGCGAGUAGGAGCUGCAGCAGAAGAUGCCGGGAUGCCUCAGCCCCAAAGAGACUGGGCCGGUAGCAGCUGAAGAUCACAAAUGCACAAGGGGGGAUGCUGCAGUAGCACCAAGUCCAUCCAGAGCAGACUGGAGGGCUCCAUUCAUGAUGAUUUGGUACACUAAAUGCAGAACUUCACAGCAGCAGGUA
rnacentral:lncRNA from 1 species